rnacentral:tRNA from 1 species
CAGGGAGACAACAAAAUGUUUAAUAUUAAUUUUGUCACCUUAGGUCGAUCGGUAUCUCACGUUUUUAAUUCAUUAAGAAUUUCAUUUCCUAAGUUUUUCUAGGUCACACCCAUUAUUUUUCCUGGGCCAUUAGCUCAGGUGGUUAGAGCGCACCCCUGAUAAGGGUGAGGUCCCUGGUUCAAGUCCAGGAUGGCCCAUAUCUCUAUGUUGGGGGUAUAGCUCAGUUGGUAGAGCGCCUGCUUUGCAAGCAGGAUGUCAGCGGUUCGAGUCCGCUUACCUCCACUGAUCACCACCUCUUCCAUAAUCGGUAUAAAGGAAAUUUUUUGAGUUGUGAUCAAAUUCUGAAAGAAUCUAGCUUCCUAAUGAAAUCAUUAAGAUGCUGGACUCAUUGAAUUAAUUUCAUUGUUUUCAGAGAACCUUGACAACUGCAUAGAUUAUUUUUAAAGACAAUAAGCAUCUUUAAUGAUGCAGAUUUAUUAUUUGUGCAAAUGCAUUAAUAACAAUUCUAUUAAGCUGAUGCUUCAAUUUUUGAAGUUAUU